GAUGAACGCUGGCGGCGUGCCUAAUACAUGCAAGUCGAGCGAACAGAUGAGGAGCUUGUUCCUCUGACGUUAGCGGCGGACGGGUGAGUAACACGUGGAUAACCUACCUAUAAGACUGGGAUAACUUCGGGAAACCGGAGCUAAUACCGGAUAAUAUAUUGAACCGCAUGGUUCAAUAGUGAAAGACGGUUUUGCUGUCACUUAUAGAUGGAUCCGCGCCGCAUUAGCUAGUUGGUAAGGUAACGGCUUACCAAGGCAACGAUGCGUAGCCGACCUGAGAGGGUGGUCGGCCACACUGGAACUGAGACACGGUCCAGACUCCUACGGGAGGCAGCAGUAGGGAAUCUUCCGCAAUGGGCGAAAGCCUGGCGGAGCAACGCCGCGUGAGUGAUGAAGGUCUUCGGAUCGUGAAACUCUGUUAUUAGGGAAGAACAAAUGUGUAAGUAACUAUGCACGUCUUGACGGUACCUAAUCAGAAAGCCACGGCUAACUACGUG
rnacentral:rRNA from 1 species